UCAACCAUCAAGCUCUGCUUAGUAUUGGGCGUCGUCCUUUGGGACGUGCCUUAAACGCCUCGGCGGCGGUUCUUAACCUCAAGCGUAGUAGAAUACUUUAUUUAGCUUUCUAGGUUCUGAGCCGUUGUGCCACGAGAAAACCAUACACCUCAA
rnacentral:misc_RNA from 1 species